UACAGAGGGGGCAAGCGUUGUUCGGAAUUACUGGGCGUAAAGGGCGCGUAGGCGGCCUGUUAAGUCAGACGUGAAAUCCCUCGGCUCAACCGGGGAACUGCGUCUGAUACUGGCGGGCUUGAAUUCGGGAGAGGGAUGUGGAAUUCCAGGUGUAGCGGUGAGAUGCGUAGAUAUCUGGAGGAACACCGGUGGCGAAGGCGGCAUCCUGGACCGACAUUGACGCUGAGGCGCGAAAGCCAGGGGAGCAAACGGG
rnacentral:rRNA from 1 species